ACGAACGCUGGCGGCGUGCUUCACACAUGCAAGUCGAACGGAAAGGCCCUUCGGGGUACUCGAGUGGCGAACGGGUGAGUAACACGUGGGUGAUCUGCCCUGCACUUUGGGAUAAGCCUGGGAAACUGGGUCUAAUACCGAAUAGGACCACGCGCUUCAUGGUGUGUGGUGGAAAGCUUUUGCGGUGUGGGAUGGGCCCGCGGCCUAUCAGCUUGUUGGUGGGGUAAUGGCCUACCAAGGCGACGACGGGUAGCCGGCCUGAGAGGGUGACCGGCCACACUGGGACUGAGAUACGGCCCAGACUCCUACGGGAGGCAGCAGUUGGGAAUAUUGCACAAUGGGCGCAAGCCUGAUGCAGCGACGCCGCGUGAGGGAUGACGGCCUUCGGGUUGUAAACCUCUUUCAAUAGGGACGAAGCGCAAGUGACGGUACCUAUAGAAGAAGCACCGGCCAACUACGUG
rnacentral:rRNA from 1 species